GCUCCGGUGGUCUUGUGGUUAGAGCGUCCGCCUCAGAUGCAGGAGGUUGCGGGUUCGAACCCCAGUCGAGUCA